UUGUAUAUAAUUGGAUCUUAUUUAUUUAGGGCAAAUAAUCAUGAAACUGCAUCCACGAAAAAUAUUCUAAUUUUGUACGGACGUUGUAAGAACAUUUGGAUUAUUACUAAUAUUAAAAAUACAAAAAGAAUUCUGCAACAAUGCUCUUUAAUAUUUUCUAGAAGCAAUUUUAAGUUUUUGGAAGCAAAGAAACAACAAGUUCUUGAGCAAUAUUGUUGA